AUUGAACGCUGGCGGCAUGCCUUACACAUGCAAGUCGAACGGUAACAGGUCUUCGGAUGCUGACGAGUGGCGAACGGGUGAGUAAUGCAUCGGAACGUGCCCAGUAGUGGGGGAUAGCCCGGCGAAAGCCGGAUUAAUACCGCAUACGACCUGAGGGUGAAAGGGGGAUCGCAAGACCUCUCGCUAUUGGAGCGGCCGAUGUCAGAUUAGCUAGUUGGUGGGGUAAAGGCCUACCAAGGCAACGAUCUGUAGUUGGUCUGAGAGGACGACCAGCCACACUGGGACUGAGACACGGCCCAGACUCCUACGGGAGGCAGCAGUGGGGAAUUUUGGACAAUGGGCGCAAGCCUGAUCCAGCAAUGCCGCGUGCAGGAAGAAGGCCUUCGGGUUGUAAACUGCUUUUGUCAGGGAAGAAAUCUUCUGGGCUAAUACCCUGGGAGGAUGACGGUACCUGAAGAAUAAGCACCGGCUAACUACGUGCCAGCCGCCGCCGUAAUAC
rnacentral:rRNA from 1 species